GGGCUAGGGCGCAGCCACUCUGGACCCUCCUGCUGAGAGCCCCAGCUGAGACACAGACCCUUGGCCAACCCCAGGAAUGUCCAGCCCUGUGAGCAGGAUCUGAGCCCCACAUGAACAAAUGACCAAGACCAGGCUGGGGACCAGGCUUCCAGGCCCAGGCUGCACCCGGUCCACACACACAGCACAUAGGGUCAGUGCUCCCUAGUGGGCACGUCUCUGCAGGGACAGGAUGGAGAUGUCCACGCAGCACACAGACCAAGCUGAGGUAAGGUCUCAAAGUACAACCAUGUGACACACAAGCAUCCACCUAGGGGCACAGGCAGAACUCCCCAACACACCUCUUGGCUACCUCGGUAUGUGUGGCCAGGCCCUCCUGCAGGUGCCUGUACUUACCACGUGAGGGCGCCCUGGAGCUGCCACAGGAUCCUGCACCCCCGGACAGGAAUGGGGAGAGACCCCGGGCAGAAUCAGGCCCCAGAAGGACCUGGAGCAUUGCACAGACACGAAUGCCGUCUGCAUGAGCAAUGUGUGGAGGCAAGCCCCUCCCCACGGGGAGACUGCCCUCCAGGUGGGCCUGCAGGGACAGGACCUCCAUGGGUAGAGAGGGUAGUCUGGGCUCUGCCUGGAACCCGUCUGGAACAGAGCGGGAGCAUCCUGGUCACAGUGGGCGGGAAGGCGGGGCCCCCUCAGCUAUUGGUACAAGGACACAAGGGCAUGUCUCAGACUCCUGGAGUCAAGACUUCACCGCUCUGUGCUUCCCUUCUGGAAGCUGGAGGGUAAGUUUAGACAUGUUCGUUCAGUAAAUGUCAGCGGUCAUCAUCACCAUAAUCACUGCCACCAUCAGUACCAUCACCACCAUUAUCAUCAGUAACAUCACCACCAUCAACAUAACCAUUGCCACCAUCAUCAUUGUUAUCACCAGUAGCAGCAGCGGCAGGAGCACCAUCACCAUGGACCCUGCAGAGUGGGGCCAUUUAAACUCCCUCUGGCUGGUCCUGUUUUCAGUUCUUUGAAGCAGUGGGGAUGUGGGAGAGAUGCAGAUCCACUGAACUGUGGCCACCCAAAGGUCACUCCAUAGACCCAUAUACUUCUAGGAGGGUGACUGCAUGCUGAGGACACAGGAGGGGAAGCUACAGGGCCUCAGUGCCAUAUCAGCCUGGUGAUGCUCAGGUCCCCGACUCCACAUAAGGACAGCCCUCCUCUGGCCACAGAGGCCCUGGUCAUCACCGCCUAAGCAGCCCCUGACCCGGCUAACUUUGGACAGUCUCCAGUGUCCCUUCCCCAUAAGUCUUCCCAAAUGUCUAGAGAAGACCCCGUCUUGGCCCCCAAAAGGUAUUUCUGUGACUUCACACCCAGAGAAGUGCAGAAUCUGCUGGGGGCAGGUAGUCCUGCUUAGAAGACAUAGUGGCUAUCCUGGGCAGAGUGGCACCCCCUGUCAGAGCCCACCUGCCAAAAGGCUGGAGAUGUCCCAAGAGCCUGAGGACCAAACAGCCCACAGAAAAGCCCAUUUCCAGCCAAACCCCACCUUUCCUCAUGUGCAGACCCCCCAAGAAUUACAGACCUGAGGAGGUGCUGUGGCUUGCACCCAGACAGAGCAGAAGGCGGAUCCUUCCCAAGGGGCUCCUGUUUAUCUGGGACCAUUAUCAUCUUUACAUUAGUUUUACACGGCCCAUGUGUGUGCACCUGUGUGUGCCUGUAUGCAUAUGUGCAUGUGUGUAUACAUUUGUGUGCAUGUGUGUGUGUGCACGUGCAUGCCUGGGGAUGCCUGUGGGCAUAUGAUCAUGUGUGUCAGUGCGUGCCCAUGUUGGGGCAUAUGAUCUUGUGUGUCGGUGUGUGUCCAUGUUAGGGCCUAUGAUUGCGUGUGUCGGUGCGUGCCCAUGGUAGGGCAUGUGAUCAUGUGUGUUGGUGUGUGCCCGUUAGGACAUAUGAUCAUGUGUGUCCGUGCGUGCCCACGUUGGGGCAUAAGAUCGUGUGUGUCUACGCCUGCUCAUGUUAGGGCAUAUAAUCACGUGUGUCGGUGUGUGCCCAUGGUAGGCACAUGAUCACACGUGUCAGCGUGUGCCCAUGGUAGGGCAUAUGAUCACGUGUCUGUGUAUCCCCAUGGAAGGACACAUGAUCAUACAUGUCGGUGCAUCCCCAUGUUAGGGCACAUGAUCACGUGUGUCGGUGCGUGCCCACAUUAGGGCAUAUGAUCACAUGUGUUGGUGCAUCCCCAUGGUAGGGCAUAUGAUCACGCAUAUCUGUACGUGCCCAUGUUAGGGCAUAUGAUCACAAGUGUCGGCGUGUGCCCAUGGUAAGGCAUAUGAUCACGUGUCUGUGUAUCCCCAUGGAAGGACACAUGAUCAUACAUGUCGGUGCAUCCCCAUGGUAGGGCACAUGAUCACGUGUGUUUGUGUGUGCCCACGGUAGGGCAUAUGAUCACGCAUAUCUGUACGUGCCCAUGUUAGGGCAUAUGAUCACACGUGUCUGCGUGCCCAUGGCAGGCAUGUGUGUUGUGUGCACGUGUUUGUGUUGUAUGUUCUCUGUACAUGUGUGCAUGUAUGUGCCUGUGUGCACCCAG
rnacentral:lncRNA from 1 species